AAAUUUGAAUUUCAUUUUGGAGUCACGGGAGGAGGAGACUCACGGGAGCUGCCUUUUUUCCUCUUUUUAACUCUGUAGUUGAGGGUGCAUCAAAGGUAAUACAACCAAGCGGAUAUAAAGCAGCGGUUAACCUGCUUGAAACUUACUAAUGCCACAUAGCAUGCAAUAGAUGAUGGCCCAUUUACUGCACAGGGGAUAGAAAUAGGAUCCCAUUGUGAAGCUGGUACACGGCAGAAAUCUAACAGUUCAGAGGCAAACCUAUCAUGGCAUAUGCAGCAAAAAAAAGCCAUAUUGGAAUUAUACCUUAGGAGAUGCAGAUUUUUGGCAGCUGAAGUGCACAAACUCUGACUUUAUUACACAAAAUGUUUUUGCUUCUGGAAAUAACUGACACUACUGUAAAAAAGGAGCACCUGUGUGCAAAGCCUCCUUUGUCAGGACAUAGCCUUUCUGUCAUCAAGAGCUGUCCAAUGCCUCUUUGUGGCCACCAUAUCACCUAGGUACCUUUUAACCCUGGGCUAGAGGAUUUUGGAGUGGCAGGGGGCUGUAAGGGUACAGAGCCAUGGGUUACUGGCAUGUAGUCUUGGUUGUGUAGUUCAUGACUUUAGGCUGCCAGACCAGGAAGUCAGCUGAUGGAGUAGGAGCUAUGAAGUCUCAACAAGAGGAUCUGGAAAUUGAUUGAUGUACUGGAUUGUUAAUACUUUAUGUGUUUAUUUGGUGGAAUAUUAAUUACAUAUUUCUUUUGAGUAUUUAGCUGUGUUUUUUUCACUUUUUAUUUAACAUCUUUCAAAAACUUUAUAUGGUUAAUUGUGUACAUAGUGCAGUACUUAUGUCUAUGUCUAUGUUCUGUUUGGAUGCUACCUAUGAAUGUGAAUAUUUCUUUUCUGCUGUCCAUCAUAAACAGAUAUAAUAAUAUAUUCAGUCAGUGAUGUAGCACAUUGAAUGGAAUUCUGUGAGAUGAAAAAUUGUCUUAUUUUUUUAGGAAGAAAGACUAGUGAAAAGACAUUAAAAGAGGAAGAAAUUAAA